UAAGCUUAAGUUGAUUGUACUAUUCCCGUUCAGAAUUUCAUCCAAAUCAGUUCAGCCGUUUCAGCGUGAUUGAGAACAAACAUCCAAAUUCACAAAAUUACAAGCAUGAUAACUUCCGCAUUUAUAAUACUACUAGUAUGGUUGUCAUAUGAUACAUUAAGUCAUUAAGACGACUAGUGCAGCGAAACUAGCGCCACUCGUCUAUAAAUUCCGUAUCAUAUUUUAAAAAUCUAAUCCCAUAGUGUCAUAGUAAAUAACACAUAGUAUUUUUCGCAGUUUCAUAUUUUUUCCUUUCAAAACCGCCGAGGGAAAUUGAUUACCGCCAAAAGUGGCCACUUUCGGCGGUAAUCAAUUUUUCUCUGAAUUUACCAAAGGAAAAAUUAUCAAACUUAUAUAAUUACGGCGAAAAAGAAAGUACAUUCCCGAGACAGAAACUGAAACUCAGUGCGAAUCUGAUGACGAAAUUUUCGAGCCAAAUUCGCAAAAGUAUUUACUACACAGGGACAACUUCGAAUUUACACAAAAUAUAAAAACAAAGGAUAUUUUUAUGUGCCCAGAAAAAAAUAUGGUACAUAGUGCAACAUGUACAGAAAAAGUAAUGGUGGAUAGAGCAAUUUGCACAGAAAAUACAAUGGCGGGCAGUGCAAAGGAUAUAGAAAAAAAUAAGGAAGAUGAGGAUCAGGUCCCAACUAUCUUGGACAUCCAUGGAUGUAAAUAUUUUGGCCAGUUGGUUUCAAAUGAAUUGCUGCGCUUCAAGCCAUAUGACAGAAAUAUAAAAAUGCAGCAAAUUUUGGAUAUGAUAAGAAAAUAAUUUUAGUAAGUAGGUACAAUAUAAAAAAAAUUAGAAAAGAGUUUUUAAUGAAACUAGGUUUUAAAUGAAAACCAUAUAUUUAAAAAAAGUUACAUAUGCCGGUUCGAUCAAUUUGAGCGGGAAAUUUAAGUACACAAUAAUAUUUCCAAGUAUUUUUGCAUUUGGCGAACUGAAAUACAUAGAUCAAUGUAGUUUUCGUUCAGUAACAGACAUUUUUGCAGUAACCUAAAUGAAACCGUAUACAAUUGAGUUAUGGUCAAUAUUUUUAACACUAUCCCGCCAUCCCGCUCAAUGCAAAUCGGAUCAUCUUAAUCUUUUCUACUGACAUUGUUCUUAAAUUAUAAGACUGAUUGUAUAUCAUUUAAAGGAGACUGGAGACUGAUAUUUUAAGUAAAGUGCCAGAUUGAUUUUUAUGAUUAAGAAGUUUUUUUUUUAAUCAGUACCUAUUCAGUUUUUAAUCAAUAUCCUUUACAAAAAAAAAUGGUGUUUCACAAAUUUUGCUCUAUUAUUAUUGACCAUUUCUUAUAAAAGUAAACUGAACAUGUGAUUACAAAAAUAGUUCAGAAGUCCGUAGACAACCAGUAUGUACUGUCAGUAGUAUUUUUAAAAUAAGUACCUGACUGAUCGUAUUUUUUUUUAAUUAAACUUUUAAAUUUGAAAAUCAGCAAAAUCAAAUUAUAGUGAGUAGCCUCUUGCCAAUCAAGUUAAGUAUUAUAAAAACCUAAAAAAUCUUCUAUAACACAAUUUGUAAUUUUUAACAAUCACAAUACAGUAUGCUAAUAUUUGUGAAAUUCUCUAAAACAUUUAUCAAUACAUAGACCCGGAAAUCCGGGGCAAUCAGGACAGCCAAAUAAAACAGAAACUCUUUUUUUGGUUUUCAAAUAACACACUCUGCAUCUUUUUCUUAGGAUAUUGCCAUUUUUCUUUGGCAAGUUGGCAGGUAAAUGUAUUUUUCCUUCUGAUAGAGACCGAGAAAGUUCUGUUCUAUUUGGCAUUGGCAGUAAUUUCUCCAUUAUGUCCAUUCUAAAUUUGUACAAAGUUGUUUCAUUUCCUUUGUUUCUUGCGUUAAAAAGCAAAAAGCCAUUUACUAGACAUAUUUGUAUUAUAUGUAUAAUAACUUUUUUGUACCAGCGCAGGGUCUUAUGCUCACAGCAAUAAUAACUUAACAUCUGAUCAUGUCGGUCUAUUGCCCGCAUGUAUUUAUUAUAUUUUAUUUGUACGGCCGGUUUGUAUUUGACGGUGCGUACACGGCGACUAGUAGUCGCUUUAUAUUGACUUGUGUGUUCCGAACUUAUGAACAAUAUCUCCCGUUUAUCUUGCCAUUUGGUUACUACAAUUUUUUUCCAGUUGUGUACUAUACACGAUUCUCCUGGUUUUAAUUUUAUAUUUUUUACUACCGUUGGAUUACCAAUACGGUUUGCUCUUAAGGUACCAGUUACGUAUGUAUUUUUACACAAUAACUCCUCAGAUAACCCCACGCUGGUAUAAAAGUUAUCUAAAUAUAAGGAAUGUCCCUUUUCAAUAUAUUUUUUCAUAAGAAGAUGUACAACUUUUUUAAUAUGAUUUUUACCGCCUACUUGUGUAUCUUGAGACCCUGCGUACACGUGAAUUUUUAAAAUAAUUCCGUUAGCGUCGGCUAAAAUGUACAACUUGAUGCCGUAUCUAUGGGCUUUACCUGUAAUAUAUUGACGAAAACGAAGUCUUCCUUUCCAUAAAAUAAGAGAUUCAUCAAUAGUUAAUUCUCUCAAUGGAUAAUAUACCGAAUCAAUCGUGUCAUUGAACAAAUCAAUUAACGACUUUAUUUUAAAUAUACUUUGGGUUCUCUCAUUAUUUUGCACGUUUAAAGCUCUUAAAAUUAAAAAAAAUCUAUCUCUCGACAUAAAUUGACGUACACAUAGACGAAACAAAUAAUGAGUUGACCAAUAGUCUGUUAGUCUAUUUAGCUUAAUUGUCCCCAUCAGCAACAGUAGACCGAGAAAAGUUUUGAAUUCGGCUACACUUACAUCAGUCCACUUGCGAAAACGAGCGCGUGGAGUAGUCGCUGUUGCUUUUAGUUUGUUACCGUACUUAUUAGUACACUCCAGAAUUAAAUUUAUAAAGUGAGAAUUAAAGAAUAAAAAGAAAUAGUCCAAAGGACUUUUGACGUUUACAUCAUGUGGCGGCAACAUACCACUUGUCCCUGUAAAGAUUAUAUUGGACAUAUUUGUAGGAUUACCCGGAUACCACCCGGUCGUCUCUUCUGGAGAAGUAUCUUCUUCCUCUUCGGCCUGUUGAUUUUCGUAAGAAUUGCUAAUAUUUGUUUCUUCGUUCGGAUCUGCACUAUUAAGUUCAUCCAAUGUGUCGUCGUUAUUGCCGGUCAAAAUCCCGUAUAGUUCUUCGUCACCAAUAAAAUCUAAGCCUUCCAUAUCGUAUAAUGGCAUAGUUUCUUGUGGAGACAUCAUUCUUCCUAAUUCUACGGUUAAGGGAUCUAAUGCGGUUGGUGUACCGAAUUGCGGCGAACUCCGAGCUUCCAAAGGGUCUAUAGCGGAUGAUGGUCCAGGUGUUGGUGAACUUGGAAGAAUCAUAUAUGGAUUCAAAGGAUCCAGUGAAGUUAAUGUACCGAAUUGCGGCGAACUGCAAGCUUCCAAAGGAUCUAUAGCUGAUGAUGGUCCAGGUGUUGGUGAACUUGGAAGAAUCAUAUACGGAUUCAAAGGAUCCAGAGAAGUUGAUGUACCGAAUUGCGGCGAACUGCAAGCUUCCAAAGGAUUUAUACCCGAUGAUGGUCCAGGUUUUGGCGAACUUGGCAGAUUAAUACUUGGAUUCAAAGGAUCCAUGGCGGAUGGCGGCUCCGAAGAGUUCGAAGAAGAAUCGUCCAUAUUAGUUUAUCUGCAAAAAUAAAUAUUUGAAUGAAAUUUAUGUACUUAAGGGUCAUAUUUCUAAUAUUAGUAAGAAAUAUAAAGUAGGACUUAAGACUUAAAGUUUUAAUCCAAAUCAUUCUGUUUUAAUCCAAUAAAAAAAAAAUAAUAAUAUUAAGUAUAUAACAUAUAACAUUUAAGUUUUUACCUAUGUUAAUAAGAAGAAUGUGAUAAGUUAAAGUGAUUUAGUUUAUUUAGUUUAUUUAUGUUCGCGGCUAAGGGGUGGCCCAAGGGCCGCCGCACCUUAACCUAUACUAGUGUUUUUAAGUAAUUUAAAGUGAAAAUACUUAUUGAAAUGUUAAUGUCUUACAUUUUCAGGUUCAGGAAACCAUCAACAAAAUUCUCUCGUUUUCUCGUUAGAAAAUCUUAUGAAAAAACUUAUUCAAAUUUUAGCCACUUAUAAGGGUUUAAAAUAGAGUUAGAAUAGAAUUUAUGAACUAAAUAAAUUAUAAUAAACUAUGAUUAUGACUAUAACUGUUAUGACAAACCCAUUAUGAUAUACUAUUUUACAGCAAAACUCAUUAUUAUAAACUAACAUUAUGCCUACACAAGCAUUAUAGCAAUAAACUUUAUGUGAAUCAAUUAUUAUGUUAGAAAAAUUAUGAGAAAGGCCUUAUGACAAACCAUAUUAUGAUAAAUUUAAUCAUGAGAACAAACAGGAUCCCUCCAUUGGAUACAUAGAUAGGUACUCUUUUGAACAAAGUUUACUCUGUUCAAAAGAGUACCUACCUUAUAGUGUGCUCUUAUAGGAGUUCAAAAGAGUACCAAUAAGAGUAACUUACCCAAUAAGUUACCAUGAAGUUUACGGCAAGCAGAGAUUUAUGUACACAGGCUGAGUCGUCACAUUGGCAGAUCACGGAGUCCAGUUAUACAAGCAGCAGUCGUUUUUUUACGAAGAUCAGAGCACAGUAACACAGUCCUCACAACACAAAUGUCGAAAGCCCAGAUAUACGAUCUCAAUGUCAUCGAUACGCACGCAGAUCUGAUCACCAAGGAUAGCAAAACAGAACUAA